rnacentral:rRNA from 1 species
CGGGUGAGUAACACGUGGAUAACCUACCUAUAAGACUGGGAUAACUUCGGGAAACCGGAGCUAAUACCGGAUAAUAUAUUGAACCGCAUGGUUCAAUGGUGAAAGACGGUUUUGCUGUCACUUAUAGAUGGAUCCGCGCCGCAUUAGCUAGUUGGUAAGGUAACGGCAUACCAAGGCAACGAUGCGUAGCCGACCUGAGAGGGUGAUCGGCCACGCUGGAACUGAGACACGGUCCAGACUCCUACGGGAGGCAGCAGUG